UACCUGCAGCUCAAGUGGUGGCCGCUAUUAUUGGGCCUAAAACGUCCGUAGCCGGUUUGGUAAAUGCCUGGGUAAAUCGUGUAGCUUAACUAUACGAAUUCUGGGUAGACUGUCAAACUUGAGACCGGGAGAGGCUAGAGGUACUCUUGGGGUAGAGGUGAAAUUCUGUAAUCCUAGGGGGACCACCAGUGGCGAAGGCGUCUAGCUAGAACGGGUCUGACGGUGAGGGACGAAGCCCUGGGGCACAAACCGGAUUAAAUACCCGGGUAGUCCAGGGUGUAAACGCUGCUUGCUUGAUGUUAGUUGGGCUCUGAGCCCAACUAGUGUCGGAGAGAAGUUGUUAAGCAAGCUGCCUGGGAAGUACGGUCGCGAGGCUGAAACUUAAAGGAAUUGGCGGGGGAGCACAGCAACGGGUGGAGCGUGCGGUUU
rnacentral:rRNA from 1 species